CUGGUGUAGCCCCUGUCUGUGCUAUCGUCAGGCAGCACAGUCAUGCUGGCUGCCCACCGAUCUUUAAUGGAGUACUUGGAGCCACAGGAAAUGUGUCCCAGUUCCUCACAACGGUAGCAGGCACGAACAGCAAUGUGGUGGCCCUUCCAGUGAUGUCCUUCCUACUAAUCACGGAUUGGGCUGAGUCAUCCCCUUCCUGCAUGGGCUAGACUGCGUAUAAAGAGGUUUUGCUGCUUGUUGGCGACCCCCAUCUCUACCUCUGUACUGCAGGUUCUUUCUUUAUGUCGCGUAACAUUUCAGUAGCUGCUUGACAUUGUUCCACUGCGUCAACUAACUCGGUUGCAGUUUUGAUUUUCUGAUGGCUCACCACCUUUUUCAUUCCGUAAGGCAAGGCUCUUAGGUAUUUAUCCACUACUAUGGCUUCCAUGAUAUUAGUAGGGCUACUCCUGUCAGGUUCUAACCACUUCCUAGUAAUGCAAAUUAACUCAUACAUUUGUGCACGAGGCGAGACCCCAUUUUGGAAAACCCAGUUAUGAUGGCGUUGGGCCUGACUAAUCCGAGAAAAAACGUACCGGCUCAUGAUCUCACUCUUCAACUUAUCGUAGUCAUUGUUAAUGCUACCUUCUACAUCCUGGAAGGCUUGAAGUGCAUCACCUGAUAGAAAUGGAGCUAUAGCAGCCCUACCCACUGUGGCCGUGCUUCAAGUGUAUGUAGGUAUGCUUCAACAUCAUCAUAUGUUCCUAGUUUAGGAAUGAAAUCACCCACCUUGGGUUUGUAUUUGGCUGCUUGCACAAGUUCCCGUUGGCCCUGACUUGCUCCUUCAGCAACUGAGCAUUGGUUUCUUGAGCUCCCCUCUCUGUUUCCACCAACACUUUAAGCAGUUGCUCCAUCUUGUAGAGUGCAGUCACAAUUUCCAAAAUCCAAAAGAAGUUCAAAAGUUUUAAAAAAUCAAUCCUUACCCCCUUGAUCUCAAGGUGCCCGCAUUCUCCACCAUAUGUAAUGUUGGGAGGGGUUUUCUGAAUUCUGAGGCCGUAUAUCUAAUAAAGAACAAACUGUGAUAACAGAUUAGAUUGGAGCUUUUAUUUUGCUACAAUUCACUGUUUAGAGUAACUCAGAAAGGGUAAGAAAAAUACAAAAUCACAGAAGAAAACAUUUUAAAAUCUGGACCCAGUGGAUAGGCAGUGGGAACAUGGAAAAUAUCCUCACUAUGGCAGGAUCACCCUGAGAAGUGGAUGCAUGCUAAUAUGUUUUAUCCUGCUGUGUGUAUGGAUUCAUCUGCUAAUGAAUUCAUCUCUGCUUCUUUUCCGACCCCUUUCGCCACCUCCCACCCCUCCUUUUCUAUCUCUGGCCGGCGCCAAGCAGACAGGCCUUCUUUUAUAAGGGAUCUGCUCAAGGUUGGAUUCUGGGUUCUUCCUCAUAAAAGGGAGUUUUUCUGUAGCACCAUUAUCAUAGUCCUUGCUACGAGAUUCAGGCUACGUAAACAACCUUGAGACAUUAUUUUUACUGAUACCAAAUUUUUAACACUGAAUUGAAUUAGUAACUCGCAGACUAAAACUGCAUAUUCCUGUUGUCUGUUCACAUAGGCCUACUGCAUGCACUAUACCUGGUAAGGAUGUGUAACAACAGCCCCAUUAUUCUUGCUACUGCUCUCUGUACUGAAAAUACUGCAGUCUACUCUGAUUUAUUUAGUCCCCUCAGAAUACACACACACACACACACACAC